rnacentral:lncRNA from 1 species
CAUAUUUGUUCAACUCCCUAACUGAUCCUUGCUUUUCCUACUGCUCCCAUUAUUUGUCAAUACUUCCAUAUCUAUCCGUACUGUUCGCUUGUGAGCAAUUCCUUGUACUUCCGUUGUACUUUCCCAAGGACUUGAUACAAUGUCCAGCACUCAGAUGCUCAAUAAAUGUGAUGAUUACUACUACUGCUUUCAAAACAUUGGGAAGGAGGAUUAUAAACUGUUUUGACAUCAUCAGGACAAACAAAACAAUAUUAAAGUGUCUGGCUCCUUUUCCCCCUAGUCUUACCACUGUUCCCAACCAGCUGGAAUGGAUGGUUACCUCCGUGUGAAACUCUGCAAUAAACCAAACAGUGGCCCUAAAAAACUGAAAAACGCCAAAUGAGGAAAUGGACAUAUUUCAUCGCUGCUGAGGAAGUUUUGUGGAACUACGCACCCAUGAACGAAAAGCAGUUGGAUCAGUAAGUCAGUAGAGUGGGUGGAUGAAGAAAAAGCCCGCUUCAAGCAGCAGAUGAUAUUGGUUUAUAUUUUAGCUUAUCUUUCUCAGGAUCCUUCAGUUCAGGCAGACGGAGAAGAAUAAGGGUUCAAGCCUCAAGUGGAAGAAGGUUGGAGAACGAGGACAGUUUGGAAAAUAGGUAGUAAUAGUAGGUGAGGAGUUUGGAGGAGUGAGAAGCCCAAGAAAUUCCAGCCUCAUGCUAUAAAGGAAAAUGCAAGGUUUCUCUCCGAGCAAGGUGGCACAGAACAUCAAAUCCUGAAGAGCUUGGCCCCUCUCAAUACAGUCACUGUUGUUUCAGGCAGCAGAUAUGGGUCCCGGUGUAGGUUUUUCCAUGCUCCAAUAGAUUCCUCUUAGGAGCAAAUGUGAUGAUUUUUUCACUGUGUUUUUAUUUGGAGAAACUAUACAUCUCAGCGCUUGGACAACAUCUCCAGCCAAAUUGGGAAGAUAUAAGAAGGCUGUCUACAAACAGUAUGAGGAUGCCUCUUUCUCCAAGCGCCUGGAAAAUAGCAAACCCCAGGGAUCUGGAAUCUUGGACCCUAUUAUCAGAGCCCAGAUCAGAGAUACGAUCCAGAUCGUGUUCAAGAACUUGGCCGGUCGCCCCUAUAGCAUCUACCCUCACGGGGUGUCGCUUUCCAAGAGUGAAGAAGGAGCGUCUUACCCUGGGGAGGCCUCAGAAAAGCCAUCACGAAUUAACUUUCCUUCAGGCAACAGCACCCUGAGCAGAGCGGUGCAGCCGGGUGAAAUCUACACCUAUCAGUGGACCAUCCUGGAGUCCGACGAACCCUCCGAGAAGGACGCUCAGUGCGUCACGAGACCUUAUUACAGCGCCGUGGAUGUCUCGAGGGAUAUCGCCUCUGGCUUGAUCGGGCUCCUUCUGAUUUGCAAGGGCCGGUCCCUGAACGAACAGGGCAGACAGGUACCGUGUUCUGGCAGUUACCCUGCAGAGAGUGUGAAUGUUCGUCGAGGAGAGGAACAGCUCCUGAACUAGAGAGCAGAUUGGAUUUGAAUUCUGCACACCUAAUCUUAUUUCCCAAAAAACUGUUCCAGAAUUUGGUCACAGAGUGUUGGUCAGCAAAUUUAGGUAACUGGAGCUGGUUUUAC